GUGCAGCAGGCGAGAAACUUUACAAUGUGCGAAAGCACGAUAAGGGAACUCUGAGUGCCUCCUAAGGAGGCUGUUCAGGUGUCUAAAAGCACCUGAAGGAAGGGCUGGGUAAGACCGGUGCCAGCCGCCGCGGUAACACCGGCAGCCCAAGUGGUAGCCACGUUUAUUGGGUCUAAAGCGUCCGUAGCCGGCUGGGUAAGUUCCUUGGGAAAUUUGGCUGCUUAACAGUCAAGCUUUCAGGGAAUACUGCCCGGCUUGGGACCGGGAGAGGUCAGAGGUACUCCAGGGGUAGGGGUGAAAUCCAUUAAUCCUUGGGGGACCACCGGUAGCGAAGGCGACUGACCAGACCGGGUCCGACGGUGAGGGACGAAGGCUAGGGGCGCGAACCGGAUUAGAUACCCGUGUAGU
rnacentral:rRNA from 1 species